rnacentral:rRNA from 1 species
GAUGAACGCUGGCGGCGUGCCUAAUACAUGCAAGUCGAGCGAACAGAUAAGGAGCUUGCUCCUUUGAAGUUAGCGGCGGACGGGUGAGUAACACGUGGGUAACCUACCUAUAAGACUGGGAUAACUUCGGGAAACCGGAGCUAAUACCGGAUAACAUUUAGAACCGCAUGGUUCUAAAGUGAAAGAUGUUUUUGCUAUCACUUAUAGAUGGACCCGCGCCGUAUUAGCUAGUUGGUAAGGUAACGGCUUACCAAGGCGACGAUACGUAGCCGACCUGAGAGGGUGAUCGGCCACACUGGAACUGAGACACGGUCCAGACUCCUACGGGAGGCAGCAGUAGGGAAUCUUCCGCAAUGGGCGAAAGCCUGACGGAGCAACGCCGCGUGAGUGAUGAAGGGUUUCGGCUCGUAAAACUCUGUUAUUAGGGAAGAACAAAUGUGUAAGUAACUGUGCACAUCUUGACGGUACCUAAUCAGAAAGCCACGGCUAACUACGUG